UGUGGACUAAUUUUUUAUACGAUGCCUGUUGGAUUGUGGGAAAAUGCGUGGGGUAAGAUAAUACGUAUGCGUCAGAGCUGUGAGGUGGGCCAAGUUAUGGGCGCCCGUCAACCUGUGACGGACUGAGCCGUGGGUCAGAACCGCUAGAAUCUAUGUGAUCCGUGGCCCAGAAAGUUUACUUUCCGUCACAGGACGCCAGAUUCGUCUUGAAUGCAAACCCUGGCUCCUCUGCCUCAGCGCCGCAGAGGGGAGAGGGAGCGAGAAGAAGAACAGGCGACCCGACGCGCCAUGGAGUUCCUAAUGCAGCCAGUCCACAGACCCACUAUUUUUGAGGAGGUCGGGAAGAGCCUGGUGCCGGAAGGUUCGCCGGCAUUUGGGACAAGGCGAACGGCGGUUGAGGUGGUGCUGCACGAGGGAAUAGUUUUGAGCGGGGACGAGCGGGUCUGCCCGGCGUCAGGAGCGGCGACGUUGAGUGGCCAAGGACGAAUCUGUAGUGGUGCGCCGGCGGCGGCUAUGAGCGGCAAAGGACGAAUAUGCAGCGUGGUGCAGGCGGCAGUGGUGAGAAAGUUGCGGAUUGGUGCUGCUGGCCCCAACAGGCACCUUGCACUACCUGUGUAAGCACGUUCGAGAAGGCAGUGGGGGUGUCCACGGAAAAGCCGACGGCAGAUAAUGUAAUCAUUCAAGUGCUGGGUACUGGUACCUUUGACUCGCUUGGAGAAGCAUAUGAUUUGUACAACUUGUAUUCUUGGGAGGAAAGGAUUUGGUAUAAGAUAUGGGAAAAGCUAGUUAAAUGUGGAGAGGGUGAAGUGCAUGCAGGAAAUUGUCUGCCGGUGUUCGGGGGAAAGCUGGUGUGGAGAACACAAGGUCCCUUCGGUGUGAAUGCCCAGCGUUGAUAAGGCUAUUAGCCUGUUACGGACUAACCACUCACUUUCACUAAAUUUCGGUGAGACUAUCCACUGGCCGUCCCAAAAGCACAUUGAUGUGUACAACAGGGACCUGAUAAAACAGUUGCGGUAGAAUAAUGUCAACCUUGCUAAGGUGUAUAGCAUAGUAGGUAGUAUUUUUGGAUCGAUGAAAAAUGUGUCAUUUGUAAAGAGGUCUUUGCGUAAUCUGUGCGGAUGUAAGGAAAGCAAUGGAGGUCUUUGCAGAAACUACAACUACAUCAUGAAUGAGCCCUGUGAAGUGGAGGACAGAUGGGUCAUGCUUGACCACUAUUACAGGGAAUACAAUGGUCUGUACCUUGAACGA